UGUCAUUCCAUUUCAGAAGUGUGUUUGCAAACUUUUAAAUAUAUCAAAGUGCAUUGUUUGCCAAAGCUUGUAGCUUCCCUCCUUUCUCUAUUUCUUUGUCCAAUUUUAUUGAGAGUGCAAAGUGAGAGGUGUGAUAGAGUUUGUAAACUUAUCACCCAUAUAUUUUAGUAUUGAGUUAGUAAACUUUUCAAUACCAACACUAUUCACCUUGUACUUGCUGGAACAUGGGUUGGGAUAGGAAUAGUUAUAGGCAAAUUUGACGUGUGUUCCUAUAAAAAAACCGUUAUUGCUUUUGUGGAUCUUGUUGAAUAUAUUGGUCAUCUAAAACAAUAAACUGCUACCUUCAGUCAGCUAGGGUUAUGCGCUGAUAGAAUAUGAGAAGUUUGAGGAAGCUAAGGCAGCAAUAUUGGGAAUGAAUGGUGCUAAACUUUUUGGUCAGACCAUAUCUGGUGAUUGGGCUUUCAGUACUGGUCCCCAUGGAAGCAAUUUAAGUUGUGUUUUCUUUUUAGUAUUUUGUGUUAUGUCACUAAUGGCCUUGAUUUUAGUUCUUUUAUAUCCGAUAAUUUGGAUUGGUUGUUUAUAAAUGGAUUAAUUUGUCAUGUUUGUCCGAAGAAAGGCUUUCUUACCAAAUAAAAAUAAAAAUUGUAAAGCAAUAUAACAUGGUUAUUUAGUUUCAUAGUUUAAUUUAUCUAUUCUUCCCACAUUCUGUGAAGGGAAUAACUUCCAUCUUAUCACAUGUAAUGGAAGCUUGUGGCGUUCCUAGCAAUUCUAGUCAGAUGACCAAUCAAUUAUGGGUCUAAUGAAUUUUCUCUUCCUAAUAUUGUGAAAAGAUCCGAAUUUGAACCACCUUCUCUGCUGAUAGAAAUAAAAGUUGUUGGUCAGAUGCAUAAUUUAUGUACAUUAUCUAUCAGAAUAUUUUUGUUUUCUGCACCUACUAUCUCCAAGCAUGCAAUUGUCAAGCGUAUGUGUUUUAACUAUACAUACAUUGAUGGAUUGCUCCUUUCGUCUUCUUUGUAGGUCGCCGAACCGUUCCCGAAGUCCAAGGAGGAGAUACUGAUUUGGAUGGUGCUUGUUGCUUGAGAAACACUAUCAUAUUUGUGCUAGCUAGUGACACUCUAAGGAUGGUAACUAAUUGGCAAGUGUGGAUCUCCUAUGCCGGGGGUAUUGUAGGUUGUUUCGAAAGAUUAGGCUAGAACGGAAGUUGUAACACAUGAAUUUACUAACUACUCUUGGAAACUUUGAGAUGGUUUUAGCAGGUGUCAAUCCCUUUGGUGACAUACAAUAAAAUUGGAACGAUACAGAGAAUGUUUAGCUGUCGUGGAUGAUAAACUAGAGUUUGUGUUCUACUAGUUGGAUGUAAAUGAAUUUCCAAGAAAAUUCCGUUCACUUCAAAAAGAUUUAAUUUCAACUUCAUGAACAACGAGAUUUUAAGUAGAAAAGAAAAAGAAAUAUGCAACUACGGCAAUUGCUUCUGCUACCCAAGCACCACCACCCCUGCCUCCACUGCCACCGUUGUUGCCUUGGACGCCAUCUCUUUACCACCAGCGCACCGCUACUCUACGCUGUUACUACCGUAACUAUCACUACUAUUGCUAAAAGCAUUGUCAUAUCAUUGUAUCAUGGCACUAUUAAUGUAUCAUACAACAUCAAAUGCUUACACUAAGAAAUGAUUUUCACACAUCAAUUCAUUUUUGUCCUUUAAUUCUCUUUUGAUUUGUUGAACCAAAUAUGAAAAAUAACCAAUAAAUUGGUAUGCAAAAAUCACCUUUUUCUCCUUGUACUAUAGCAAGAUAUCCUAACAGUGUAAGCUUUUGAAAUACUGGAAAAUUGACAUUAUCGAA